rnacentral:rRNA from 1 species
UACGUAGGGUGCAAGCGUUAUCCGGAAUUAUUGGGCGUAAAGAGCUCGUAGGCGGUUUGUCACGCCUGCUGUGAAAACUGGAGGCUCAACCUCCAGCCUGCAGUGGGUACGGGCAGACUAGAGUGCGGUAGGGGAGAUUGGAAUUCCUGGUGUAGCGGUGGAAUGCGCAGAUAUCAGGAGGAACACCGAUGGCGAAGGCAGAUCUCUGGGCCGUAACUGACGCUGAGGAGCGAAAGCAUGGGGAGCGAACAGG